AACGAACGCUGGCGGCAGGCCUAACACAUGCAAGUCGAACGCCCUAGUAAUAGGGAGUGGCAGACGGGUGAGUAACACGUGGGAACCUUCCCUAUAGUACGGAAUAGCCCAGGGAAACUUGGAGUAAUACCGUAUAAGCCCGAGAGGGGAAAGAUUUAUCGCUAUAGGAUGGGCCCGCGUAGGAUUAGCUAGUUGGUGAGGUAACGGCUCACCAAGGCAACGAUCCUUAGCUGGUUUGAGAGAAUGACCAGCCACACUGGGACUGAGACACGGCCCAGACUCCUACGGGAGGCAGCAGUGGGGAAUCUUGGACAAUGGGCGCAAGCCUGAUCCAGCCAUGCCGCGUGAGUGAUGAAGGCCUUAGGGUUGUAAAGCUCUUUUGCCGGGGACGAUAAUGACGGUACCCGGAGAAUAAGUCCCGGCUAACUUCGUG
rnacentral:rRNA from 1 species